AUUGAACGCUGGCGGCAUGCUUUACACAUGCAAGUCGAACGGUAACAGGCCUUCGGGUGCUGACGAGUGGCGCACGGGUGAGUAAUGCAUCGGAACGUGCCCAGAGGUGGGGGAUAACGCAGCGAAAGCUGUGCUAAUACCGCAUGUGAUCUGAGGAUGAAAGCGGGGGACCAGGCAGCAAUGUUUGGCCUCGCGCCUUUGGAGCGGCCGAUGUCAGAUUAGGUAGUUGGUGGGGUAAAGGCCUACCAAGCCGACGAUCUGUAGCUGGUCUGAGAGGACGACCAGCCACACUGGGACUGAGACACGGCCCAGACUCCUACGGGAGGCAGCAGUGGGGAAUUUUGGACAAAGGGCGCAAGCCUGAUCCAGCAAUGCCGCGUGCGGGAAGAAGGCCUUCGGGUUGUAAACCGCUUUUGUACGGAACGAAAAGGCUCUGGCUAAUACCUGGGGCUGAUGACGGUACCGUAAGAAUGAGCACCGGCUAACUACGUG
rnacentral:rRNA from 1 species